GAGAUAGCUCAGUUGGUAGGACAAUGCAUUAUUAUAUGCAGGGGCCGGGGUUCGAACCCCGGAUACUUCA
rnacentral:tRNA from 1 species